GAUGAACGCUAGCUACAGGCUUAACACAUGCAAGUCGAGGGGAAACGACAUCGAAAGCUUGCUUUUGAUGGGCGUCGACCGGCGCACGGGUGAGUAACGCGUAUCCAACCUGCCCAUCACUUGGGAAUAACCUUGCGAAAGUAAGACUAAUACCCAAUGACAUCCCACGAAGACAUCUGAAUGGGAUUAAAGAUUUAUCGGUGAUGGAUGGGGAUGCGUCUGAUUAGCUUGUUGGCGGGGUAACGGCCCACCAAGGCAACGAUCAGUAGGGGUUCUGAGAGGAAGGUCCCCCACAUUGGAACUGAGACACGGUCCAAACUCCUACGGGAGGCAGCAGUGAGGAAUAUUGGUCAAUGGGCGGGAGCCUGAACCAGCCAAGUAGCGUGCAGGAUGACGGCCCUAUGGGUUGUAAACUGCUUUUAUAAGGGAAUAAAGUGGGUCUCGUGAGACUUUUUGCAUGUACCUUAUGAAUAAGGACCGGCUAAUUCCGUG
rnacentral:rRNA from 1 species